GGCCCCAAAACAGAAAGGAAAGCUCACCACCAGAAUGUGCCUUUUCCUUAUCAAAAAGAAUUGCUGCCCCUUACAGGACAGGAGGACUCCAAUUGUGACCAAGUUGGAGCAGCCUUGAGCCACAACUCAGACUUAUUUUCAUUCUCUGCUCAUUGGCCAUUAGGAACCCGAUCCUUAUGACCUGCAGUGACCUGCUGCUACCAGAACUGACUCGCUUCAAAGUGACGGAUGAAACCCAUAUGGAGAUAUUCCUGGGGUGGGUAGGCCAGUUGGAAGACAGAGUGUUUACACCUGAGAGAGGACUUGAGAAUUUUACUCAGUCACGUUGCUCACUGCUGCGCACUCCUGCAGACGCAUCCCAGUGGACUCUGCGCUGCAUCCCCAGAGUACAGCGAGUUUCCCGCCUCCCGUUAGAGAUCCAACACAUAUUUUUUUUGAAAGAAGAAACUGAUGGAAGACAGGAAGCAAAAAGGAGAGGAAGGAAAGGGAUAGGAAGGAGGGGAAGGAAAGGGAAAGGAAGGAAAAGAAAGGAAAGUGAACUUGAAAUCCUACAAGGUCUCAAAGUCAAAAAACAUGAUUGCUGUUUUAGAGAAUUGAAGAUCCUUCAUCUUCAAGAAUCUGAAAUCUACCAUGAUCUUCACAUGUAGCCAAACACAAUGGGAUGUAGUCAUUUAAGAGUGCUGUGAAGGCAGUGAAAAGCAGUUGAAAUACCAUUAGUUAACAGAUUGCCCAAUGAAGUCGAUGACAACUGUGAUAACAAGUUACUCACUAUCACAGCGUCUCCAAGAGAUGAACAGUGGAUGAUGCUUCCAAAGCACAGAUGUCCCUCUCCUCCUCAACCUUCUCUCCCCAGAAAGAUGUCAACACUGUGGAGAUUGUGCUAUGAAGAUACCUGCACCCAGUUCCGGAUUUCACACCAAGCCUUUGCUGAGGAUAUGAGAGUAAUAAAAAGGGGAGCCCUGGUUCUUCCUCUCCUUUAGUGUCUUUCCUGGAAGUGGACUGCGAGAAGAGCUUCUUCAGCCACCUUCUGCCUGCAGACAACCUCCAUGAGUUUGCUUUAGAAGAAGGCUUCAAUUUGAAGAAAGUCAAAUAAAACAAGGUCAUUGUGUUUGCAAUUGAUCCUUGGAGACAGCGACAUCUGCGAAGCUUCCAAGCCACGGUGGUUCCACCUUCACAAGUAUCCUUCAAAGGCAUCCUGCAACCACCCCAUCCAUCCAAGUACUCCGUUGUAGGAUUCAAAAGCAAAUUGCAGGGUUUGCUGCCUGGCAGAGAAGCAUAGACACAAAGCAUGAGAGAGCAAAACCUAUGAGUUGACCAUAUCAUAAACACAAAUAGAUAUAUGCAGAAUACCAGCUAAAAAAUAGGCAAUAAACUUAAACAAUAGGACUAUGAGUAGACAUAGCAAGUGCUGGGUAGAGAUGACAGUUUUGUGUCCUGUUAGAGCUAAGUCAGAAAUCUGGGUCGAAGUGAAUGUGAGGGAGGAAAAGGCCAUUACAAUAUUUAAGAAGCAGCUCCAAUAUUUUUAAAACGUGAAGGAAAACUUGCAAGCAAUCUCUAGGGCUGGAGGGAGAGAAAUGCAAAGCCCUCUCAGCCUGCUCCACCAUUAUCUUUUGCAUUCCAAUAACUGACAUGCUGCUGAAUGUUAUGACUAUUUGUUUAUUGUUGACUGUUCUUGGCACUGCUCAGUGUAGCCAAAGAUUCCUUGCCUACAAGAAAGUCUUGCUCAGACAAUAAACCACGGAGAAAGAAAAAAAAAAAAAAAA
rnacentral:lncRNA from 1 species